rnacentral:tRNA from 1 species
UCCGGCUUAGCUCAGUUGGUAGAGCGCUUGACUGUUAGUCUAUAUGUCGUCAGUUCGAGUCUGCCAGCCGGAG